rnacentral:lncRNA from 1 species
CAGAGCUCGAAGACCGAGCUCAGGCGGUGCCACCUCUCUGCCAGGGAGGUUGCACCGCCCAGUCUUGCUCGAAGACUGAGCUCAGGCGGUGCCACCUCUCUGUCAGGGAGGUUGCACCGCCCAGUCUAGCUCGAAGACUGAGCUCAGGCGGUGCCACCUCUCUGCUGGGGAGGUUGCACCGCCCAGUCUCGCUGGAAGGCUUAGCCCAGGCGGUGCCACCUCCUGGCCCGGGCGGUUGCACCUCCUG